UGCACUUUUCUAUUUGGCGCUUAGACGUUAUGGGAAAGUUGUCUCUCUCCCUCAUCUCGCUCCCUCUCCCCAUACCUCCCUCCUCCUCCUCUUCUUCUAUCAUGUGCUUGGGAUAUGCUCAUGCUUUGCACAGAGCAGCCGAAGCACGUCUAAUGCAGGCUACUGAGUGUUAGCGGCAAUUUUAAAGUGAUGCCCCCCCUCCCAACCACAUAAUACGGCUGGGAUACUUGAGGGGACCAUAUACCACAUCACGGUACACACGGACCCCACUGAACACUGGUGUACUUCUCCUGCUUGGGACGCUUUCUGGACGAUUGCAGUGAACUGACUCUCCUAGGAAUGAUGGAGACAUUGAGCUGUGGAGAACUGAAGGCAGCAGGAAGUAGAAGACCCCCAUGAGGUUGGAUGGUGACCUCGUAGAUCAUGACCCAGAAACAAAUGGCUGACUGAAGUCUCCAGACAAAGGAUGUCAAGGAUAUUCAGCUGAUCUCAGAGGUAUACAAGUUCUUCUGAUCAACAAGAGAUGAGCUUGAAUAUCGUCAAGACCGAAGCUUCAAGAUGUCCCAUCCGAAAUCUCACAAUCUCUAGGAGUUUCAUGUUACUCUCUACGACUCUUGAACCUGCACCAUAUUCUUGUUUCAGUCUUUGUGUCAAAUGGUGAUAUAAGAUUGACCAAACUGAAAAGUAUUGUGACCUUGCACUAAUAUAUAUAUAUGUAUUUAUUUGUAUAUGGGAGAAUACUUUAUAAGAAGAAAUUAUGAAAAUAUACUCCACUUUGAAAAUUGCAUUUAUUUCAUGUAACUGAUUGAGUCUAACAAGUAUAUUUUUUGACAGCAAAAUAAAGGCAUUUUUUUUACUUAAA